GGGAUAACACAGGGCUCUUCAGAUGUGAGCAGAGCUGCUCCCUUGAAUGAGGGCCCGGAGUGCUGCCUCUUCACCUCUUCCAGCACCAUUGCUGUCACUCCUUGAGAACUUCACAGGAACUCAGGCACCACCAAUAGCCUUCAGUGACUGUCUAAAGCAGGAACAGGGAUGGAGGAGAGAGCAGACAACCAUGGACUUGGUGGCCCAGUAGCCCUAAGCAAGAGGUUCAGAGCCAGCCUGAUUUCCCUUGUGGAUGUAUUUAUGUCCAGUGUAAGCUCCUUCCUGGGUCUAUUCCAAGUUUGGAGGCAGCAGAGCACAGUGGAGAGAGCAAUGGACUUAGAGUCUCAACUCUUGGGUUAGAGUCCUGGAUCUGACCUUGAUUGCCUGUGCUAUCUUGGGUAAGUUACCUUACUUCUGUGUGCCUCAGUUUGUCUAUGAGUAAAACAUGAAGUUUGGAUAGAUGGUGUCUGAUAGCUAUCUUGUGCUUUAUGGCUCAUGAGCACAUACACGUAAGCCCAUAGUAUUAUCUCUCUCAGCCGCUCUGGCAGGUAGAUAUGAUUGCCCCAGGUUUCAGGUAAGGAGACUGAAAGAGGUUAAAUUGCUUUCUUGGGAUCCCAAGGCCAGCAGCAGCAGAGCAGGACUGGAAGCCUGGCUCCUAAUUCCAGAUCUUAUCCUCUUCCAAGUUCACCACAUUCUUCUCCAAGUGGCCUCUAAGACCCCCUUCUUACUGGAAAACCCCUAGACCUUGAAUAGGAGGCUCUCCCUUGUCUGUACAAUGGGGACUGGACAAGAUGACCCAGGAUGUCCUUCCAGGCCUGAUUUUGUGGGACUGAAGCCCAGUCCCCCUCACCCCCGACCCAGCUCCUUAGAGAGAGGCCCUGGGGCCUGGUUGUGCCUGAUCGACCUGCUGAGCCAAUCCCAGGAAGUAGC